GGAGAGGUGACCGAGUGGUCGAAGGUGCACGACUGGAAAUCGUGUGUGCUCCAAAAGGGCACCGAGGGUUCGAAUCCCUCCCUCUCCG
rnacentral:tRNA from 1 species